rnacentral:rRNA from 1 species
CCUACGGGAGGCAGCAGUGGGGAAUCUUGCACAAUGGAGGCAAGUCUGACGCAGCAAUACCGCGUGAAUGAAGAAGGUCUUCGGCUUGUAAAGUUCUUUAGUCAGAGACGAAGGAGAGUACGAUACCUGAGUAAUAAGCCGCGGCAAACUAUGUGCAAGCAGCCGCGGUAAUACAUAGCUGGCACGCGUUUUCCGGAUUGACUGGGCGUAAAGGCAGCGUAGGCGGUGUGUUAAGUUGGAGGUGAAAGCCCUGGGCUCAACCGAGGAACUGCUGUAAAGACUGACGGACUUGAGUGUAAGAGGGGUAAGCGGAACUCCUAGUGUAGCGGUGGAAUGCGUAGAUAUUAGGAGGAACACCAGUGGCGAAGGCGGCUGACUGGAUUAUAACUGACGCUGAGGCUCGAAAGCGUGGGUAGCAAACAGGAUUAGAUACCCCAGUAGUC